rnacentral:lncRNA from 1 species
CAAGGCCCACUGCUCCUGCCUCUGGAUGUUUUAACCCCCAACUUGUCUAUAACACUCACUUUCUAUGACAGUAUAUUAUGGGCAUAUGCAUGUGCAGACGAGUAAAGGUGGAUGCAGGUAGGCACAGGUGAGUGAAGGUGAGCGCAGGUAGGCACAGGUGAGUGAAGGUGGGCGCAGGUAGGCACAGGUGACUGAAGGUGGGUGCAGGUAGGUACAGGUGAGUGAAGGUGGGUGCAGGUAGGCACAGGUGACUGAAGGUGGGUGCAGGUAGGUACAGGUGAGUGAAGGUGGGUGCAGGUAGGUUCAGGUGAGUGAAGGUAGGCGCAGGUAGGUGCAGGUGAGUGCAGGUAGGCACAGGUGAGUGAAGGUGGGCGCAGGUAGGCACAGGUGAGUGAAGGUGGGUGCAGGUAGGCACAGGUGAGUGAAGGUGGGUGCAGGUAGGUACAGGUGAGUGAAGGUGGGUGCAGGUAGGUUCAGGUGAGUGAAAGUAGGCACAGGUAGGCGCAGGUGAGUGAAGGUGGGUGCAGGUAGGUGCAGGUGAGUGAAGGUGGGUGCAGUAGGUACUGGUGAGCAAGGGUGGACACAGGUAGGUACUGGUGAAUGAGGGUGGGUGCAGGUAGGUUCAGGUGAGUGAAGGUGGGUGCAGGUAGGUACUGGUGAGCAAGGGUGGACACGGGUAGGUACUGGUGAGUGAAGGUGGGUGCAGGUAGGUACAGGUGAGUGAAGGUGGGUGCAGGUAGGUACUGGUGAGCAGGGGUGGAUGCAGGUACAUACUGGUGAGUGAAGGUGGGUGCAGGUAGGUUCAGGUGAGUGAAGGUGGGUGCAGGUAGAUACUGGUGAGUGAGGGGGGGUGCAGGUAGGUUCAGGUGAGUGAGGGUGGGUGCAGGUAGGUACUGGUG